rnacentral:rRNA from 1 species
GUGAGGAAUUUUCCGCAAUGGGCGAAAGCCUGACGGAGCAAUGCCGCGUGAAGGAUGAAGGCCUAUGGGUUGUAAACUUCUUUUCUCAGAAAAGAAUUAUGACGGUAUCUGAGGAAUAAGCAUCGGCUAACUCUGUGCCAGCAGCCGCGGUAAGACAGAGGAUGCAAGCGUCAUCCGGAAUGAUUGGGCGUAAAGCGUCUGUAGGUUGUUUAAAAAGUAUUCUGUCAAAGAUUAGGGCUUAACCCUAGAUAGGCAGAAUAAACUUUUAAGCUAGAGUUUGGUAGAGGCAGAGGGAAUUCCCGGUGGAGCGGUGAAAUGCGUAGAUAUCGGGAGGAACACCAAAGGCGAAGGCACUCUGCUGGGCCAAUACUAACACUGAGAGACGAAAGCGAGGGGAGCAAAUGGGAUUAGAAACCCUGGUAGUCC